UACGGGGGGGGUAAGCGUUGUUCGGAAUUACUGGGCGUAAAGGGCUCGUAGGCGGCCAACUAAGUCAUACGUGAAAUCCCUCAGCUUAACUGGGGAACUGCGUGUGAUACUGGAUGGCUUGGAUUUGGGAGAGGGAUGCGGAAUUCCAGGUGUAGCGGUGGAAUGCGCAGAUAUCAGGAAGAACACCGGUGGCGAAGGCGGCUCUCUGGGCCUUACCUGACGCUGAGGAGCGAAAGCGUGGGUAGCGAACAGG
rnacentral:rRNA from 1 species